CCGCGUGAGACUUGGUAGUCAGAGAGAGCUUAUACCUCUUUUAGCCCCAGAUUAGGGUUCUUGAGACAGUUCGAUUCUGUCCACGCGGACCA
rnacentral:tRNA from 1 species